rnacentral:lncRNA from 13 species
UCUCACUCAGCUGGCUGAGCCCUGCGGUGCUUUCCGUGAGGACUCUAGUGCCUGGGCGCUCCAGUUCCUGAUGCUUCACAAGGACCCUGAGAAGAAAGCCAGACUUGACAGACAUCGUGAGCUGCCUGCUGGAAGGAACCCCACGCAGCAGGCACUGCUUCCCGACGGGAUCUGAAGGACCCUGAGCAUCCUCUCUACCCAAAAGAGACGCUUUGCACCUGCUCCCACCUUGCAUCCUCUGUGCUUUUACUCUCUCAGCCUCUCAUUUAAAAGCAUCCCCAAAGCUCCCCUUCCCCUCCCACCAUGAUUGGAAGCUUUCUGAGGCCCUAUGCAGAAGGAGAUGUGGCACCAUGCUUCUCUCUACAGCCCGCAGAACUGUGAGCCAAAUAAACCUCUUUUUUAAAUUGCAUUUUAGGUUUGGGG